GACGAACGCUGGCGGCGUGCUUAACACAUGCAAGUCGAACGGAAAGGCCCUGCUUGCAGGGUACUCGAGUGGCGAACGGGUGAGUAACACGUGGGUGAUCUGCCCUGCACUUCGGGAUAAGCCUGGGAAACUGGGUCUAAUACCGGAUAGGAGCCAUUUUUAGUGUGAUGGUUGGAAAGUUUUUUCGGUGUGGGAUGAGCUCGCGGCCUAUCAGCUUGUUGGUGGGGUAAUGGCCUACCAAGGCGGCGACGGGUAGCCGGCCUGAGAGGGUGGACGGCCACAUUGGGACUGAGAUACGGCCCAGACUCCUACGGGAGGCAGCAGUGGGGAAUAUUGCACAAUGGGCGCAAGCCUGAUGCAGCGACGCCGCGUGGGGGAUGACGGCCUUCGGGUUGUAAACUCCUUUCGCUAGGGACGAAGCUUUUGUGACGGUACCUAGAUAAGAAGCACCGGCUAACUACGUG
rnacentral:rRNA from 1 species